UAGGGAAUCUUCGGCAAUGGACGAAAGUCUGACCGAGCAACGCCGCGUGAGUGAAGAAGGUUUUCGGAUCGUAAAACUCUGUUGUUAGAGAAGAACAAGGACGUUAGUAACUGAACGUCCCCUGACGGUAUCUAACCAGAAAGCCACGGCUAACUACGUGCCAGCAGCCGCGGUAAUACGAAGGUGGCAAGCGGUGUCCGGAUUUAUUGGGAGUAAAGCGAGCGCAGGCGGUUUCUUAAGUCUGAUGUGAAAGCCCCCGGCUCAACCGGGGAGGGUCAUUGGAAACUAGGAGACUUGAGUGCAGAAGAGGAGAGUGGAAUUCCAUGUGUAGCGGUGAAAUGCGUAGAUAUAUGGAGGAACACCAGUGGCGAAGGCGGCUCUCUGGUCUGUAACAGACGCUGAGGCUAGAAAGCGUGGGGAGCAAACAGG
rnacentral:rRNA from 1 species